rnacentral:tRNA from 1 species
GGGUUGGUGGCUUAGUGGUUAGAGCCUAGGGCUUGCGACCUAAAGGUCCCGAGCUCGAAUCUCGCAAGAGGCA